UCUGUGAAGCCUGAACUCCAGUAGGGCCCAAGCCAGCCAGGAAGGAGGAGGCAGCCAGAGAGGCCUCCACUGUUCUCUGCAGCAGAAGACCCCUUGCUGCCAGGCUCUGUACCAGAGGACUGGAAAACAUACUGAAGGACAACACUGUUAAACAUACAGAAGAACAUGUUUCUGCUGAAGGAGAACCAGCAUGGCCUCUGCAAGGGCAAGUCUUGCCUCACUAACCUUUUGGAGUUCUUUGAGAGUGUCAACAGCCAUGUGAACAAUAGUGAUCUGGUAGACACAGUAUACUUGGACUUCCAAGAAGCCUUUGACAAAGUUCCUCACCAAAGACGCUUGCACAAACUUAGGAGUCAUGGGAUAAGGGGACAGGUUCAUGUAUGGAUUGCAGCUGUAGUUCCCACAUCAGGAGGAGGAGGCGGCAGCAACAAGAAACCCUUUGUUAAUAAACAGCGAAAAUCUUGAAGAAAAAUUUCUUCUCAAGAGGGAAACAAUGACCUGCAUCAUUGUAUAUAUUAACAGCUGGUAAAGGAAAUCACUGAUGAAGACUAUGGGUGGAAAUGCAUCUGACUCAUCUUGUACGCUCUAGAUCAGGGAUUCUCAACGUUGGGUCCCCAGAUGUUAUUGACUUCAACGCCCAUAAUCCCCAGCCCCAGUGGCCUUUGUUUGGGGGUUAUGGGAGUUGAAGUCCAAUAACAUCUGGGGACCCAACGUUGAGAAUCCCUGCUCUAGAUGAACAAAGAAUCUACAAGAACAUCUCAGAAUAUGGCCAAAUUUUGGAAUUAAGAGACUUUAUUUAAGCCUACAUUUUUCCAUUAUGUAUUUAUGAAACUGGUUGUUGGAUUUUGUAUCAAUAUUUUCAAGGUGUUUAUAUGGAUGGAUAUUUGAUUGACUUUUCUAGUUUACACAUAA